rnacentral:rRNA from 1 species
AUUGCACGCUGGCGGCAGGCCUAACACAUGAAAGUCGAACGAAUGGCGGACGGGUGAGUAAUGUCUGGGAAACUGCCUGAUGGAGGGGGAUAACUACUGGAAAAGGUAGAUAAUACCGCAUACCAUCGGAUGUGCCCAGAUGGGAUUAGCUAGUAGGUGGGGUAAAGGCUCACCUAGGCGACGGUCACUAGCUUGUCUGAGAGGAUGACCAGCCACACUGGAACGGAGACACGGUCCAUACUCCUACGGGAGGUAGCAGUGGGGAAUAUUGCACAAUGGGCGCAAGCCUGAUGCAGCCAUGCCGCGUGUAUGAAGAAGGCCUUCGGUUUUUAAAGUAUUUUCAGCGGGGAGGCGUUACCCGCAGAAGAAGCACCGGCUAACUCCGUGCCAGCAGCCGCGGUAAUUC